rnacentral:rRNA from 1 species
GACGAACGCUGGCGGCGUGCUUAACACAUGCAAGUCGAGCGGAAAGGCUCCUUCGGGGGUACUCGAGCGGCGAACGGGUGAGUAACACGUGAGUAAUCUGCCCUGUGCUCUGGGAUAGCCACCGGAAACGGUGAUUAAUACCGGAUACAACCACUACAGGCAUCUGUUGGUGGUGGAAAGUUUUUUCGGCACAGGAUGUGCUCGCGGCCUAUCAGCUUGUUGGUGAGGUAAUGGCUCACCAAGGCUUUGACGGGUAGCCGGCCUGAGAGGGUGACCGGUCACACUGGGACUGAGACACUGCCCAGACUCCUACGGGAGGCAGCAGUGGGGAAUAUUGGGCAAUGGGCGGAAGCCUGAUCCAGCAACGCCGCGUGAGGGAUGACGGCCUUCGGGUUGUAAACCUCUUUCAGUACCGACGAAGCGCAAGUGACGGUAGGUACAGAAGAAGGACCGGCCAACUACGUGCCAGCAGCCGCCGUAACAC